rnacentral:rRNA from 11 species
CCAAGUUUGCCCAUGCCUGCUUUAAAGGCACCAAAUUCUGUCUGAUCUUGGAAGCUAGGUAGGGUCUGCCCUGGUUAGUAUGUGGACAGGAGACUGCCAACAAAUAGUAGAUGUAGUUAGGC